UACGAAGGGGGCUAGCGUUGUUCGGAAUUACUGGGCGUAAAGCGCACGUAGGCGGACUAUUAAGUCAGGGGUGAAAUCCCGGAGCUCAACUCCGGAACUGCCUUUGAUACUGGAGAGCUUGAGUUCGGGAGAGGUGAGUGGAACUGCGAGUGUAGAGGUGAAAUUCGUAGAUAUUCGCAAGAACACCAGUGGCGAAGGCGGCUCACUGGCCCGAUACUGACGCUGAGGUGCGAAAGCGUGGGGAGCAAACAGG
rnacentral:rRNA from 1 species